rnacentral:rRNA from 1 species
GACGAACGCUGGCGGCGUGCUUAACACAUGCGAGUCGAACGGAAAGGCCCUGCUCUUGUGGGGUGCUCGAGUGGCGAACGGGUGAGUAACACGUGAGUAACCCGCCCUUGACCUUGGGAUAACUUCAGGAAACUGGGGCUAAUACCGGAUAGGAGCUUCUGAAGCACGGUGGGGGAUGGAAAGUUUUGGCGGUUUGGGAUGGAAUCGCGGCUUAUCCGCCUGUUGGUGGGGUAGUGGCUUACCAAGGCUUUGAAGGGUAGCCGACCUGAGAGGGUGACCGGCCACAUUGGGACUGAGAUACGGACCAGACUCCUACGGGAGGCAGCAGUGGGGAAUAUGGCGCAAUGGGCGGAAGCCUGAUGCAGCAGCGCCGCGUGCGGGAUGACGGCCUUCGGGUUGUAAACCGCUUUCGCCUGUGACGAAGCGUGAGUGACGGUAAUGGGUAAAGAAGCACCGGCUAACUACGUG